GACGAACGCUGGCGGCGUGGAUUAGGCAUGCAAGUCGAACGGUAUCAUCCUUUCGGGGGUGAGAGAGUGGCGAACUGGUGAGUAACACGUAGGUGAUCUACCCUCAAGAUUGGGACAACCCAGGGAAACUUGGGCUAAUACCGGAUGAAAGCAGCAGUGAUGUUGUUUGAAAGGUGGCGUAAGCUGCCGUUUGGGGAUGAGCCUGCGCUCUAUUAGUUAGUUGGCGGGGUAAAGGCCCACCAAGGCGAUGAUAGAUAGGCGGCCUUAACGGGUGGUCGCCCACACUGGGAUUGAGAUACGGCCCAGACUCCUACGGAGGCAGCAGUCGAGAAUAGUCUACAAUGGCCGAAAGGCUGAUAGUGCGACGCCGCGUGAACGAAGAAGCCCUUGGGGUGUAAAGUUCUUUUAUAUGUGAGCAGUGCUUUCUAUGUGAACAGCAUGGGGAGAGAGAUAUUAGCAUAUGAAUAAGCAACGGCUAACUCCGUGCC
rnacentral:rRNA from 1 species